GAUCUUUUUGAGGUUAAAAUCGUUCAGAGGAAGGCUGAGCAGCCCUGAGCUUUUCUUGCAGCCCGAGUGCUGACGCUGCCCAGCUGGGGAGGCUUGAGGACCUCUGCCUUGAGCAUAGGAAGGGAUCCUUGUCCUGGUCGGGGCUGUGCCUUCCAAGGGACUGGGCUGGCCGCUUCUGACGGGGUAAUGGUUAGGCCAGUGCUUCCUUGACCAGA